CCUCCGAAGUUGUCAGAUUACUGCCCCUCUCGCUCCCCCUCUCCCCCCGACUCCCCUGCCAUUGAUUGAAUUCAACUCUCGUCACCUCUGGAAUUCCCGAUCGAUCCAUCGAUGGGCCGCGGCUCGGCAGCCUCGCUCGCCCCGGGUUUCCGAUUUCACCCCACCGACGAAGAACUCCUCAGCUACUACCUCAUGCGCAAGGUCUCGGGCAAGUCCUUUCGCUUUGAGGCCGUCUCCGAGAUCGACAUCUACAAAUCCGAACCUUGGGAUCUCCCAGACAAGUCAAAGCUGAAGAGCAGGGACUUGGAGUGGUACUUUUUCAGUGCGCUGGACAGGAAGUACGGCAAUGGGUCGAGGACUAACCGAGCUACGGAGAGGGGGUACUGGAAGACCACCGGCAAGGACCGGCCAGUCAGCCACGGUGCCGACACCGUCGGAAUGAAGAAGACUCUUGUUUAUUAUAUAGGACGCGCCCCGCGAGGUGAGCGGACAAACUGGGUCAUGCAUGAGUACAGACUUCUUGAUGAAGAACUACAGAGAACCGGAGUGCCUCAGGGUGCAUUUGUGGUGUGUAAGAUAUUUCGAAAGAGUGGUUCCGGGCCAAAGAAUGGGGAGCAGUACGGGGCACCAUUUGUUGAGGAAGAGUGGGACGAUGAUAAAGAGGUUUUUAUUCCAGGUGAAGACACUCUAGACGAAGUGACGCUUCCUGAUGGGGCAUAUGUUGAAGCAAAUGACCUUGACCAGAACCUUAAUGGAGGCAUUCUACCUGAAAGUGCCCCCCUGCUGUUGAACUUCUGUUGGGGUGAUACUAGCACUCGUGCUGAGGAUGGUAGGGACUUAUCCCAGAAUGAUGAGAAGCCUUUCAUAGGCAUGGGUGAAGGUGGGUCAGAUCUGCCUCAUGACCAGAAGCUUUUUGAUCUGCCUGCGCGGGAUGAUAUGGAUGCCAAGUCACUCAAAGAUGAAUACUUUGUUGAACAAACCAAUGGUGUUAAUGCUGAGGAUGCCAAUUACUUAUUUGAUGAACUAUAUCUGGAUGUUAAUGGCAAUCUGCAAGAGAUGGAUGCAAAGUCAGUCGACAAUGAAUAUUUUGUUGAACACAGCAAUGACAUUAAUCUCGAGGAUGUCAAUUACUUGCUUGAUGAGCCAUACUUUGAUGCUACUGGCAAUCCAGGACAGAUGGAUCCAACAUCAGUCACAGAUGAGUAUUUUGAGCAAAGCAGUAACAUGAAUCCCGUGAAUGCUAAUCACUUGCUUGAUGAACCACACUUUGAUGCUACUGACAAUCCACUUAAUGAUGGAUUUUUUCUCGAGACCAAUGAUCUUUCAGAACCUGUUACAGAAGUUAGUUCAGCUACUGACAUGCUGUAUGAGUAUCUGGCAUACUUUGAUGAGGAGGAUGGCAAUAGACAGUUAUUGUCUUCUGAUUCUGCUAAUAUGACGAGAAUUGAGAACUCGGUGAAUGGCCAAGCAUCCCUCACCCAGAAGCAUGUGCAGGGACAAACUGGGCAAGUAUCUACAGAAAGCAAACAGCCUAGAGGACACAAUAAUAAUGGGGCAUCCUCCUCGAAGCAAACUGGAGAAGCUGAAGAAUUUGACCCAGGUCACAGGUUCAAGCCGUGGAAACAGCCUCUUGCGAAAAUCCAAGAUGUUCAAUACCCAUUCAUCACAAAAGCCAGACGUGUGUUGGGCAGCAUCCCUGCUCCUCCUGCUUAUGCUUCUGAGUUACCCACAAAAGACGCAAUCCUUCAGCUGAAUUCUGAUGCACAAUCUUCCAGUUCAAUUAAUGUUACUGCUAGGAUGAUCCAAAUUCAGAAUAUGACCAUGAGUGGCGACAGGAUGGAUUGGUCAUUUCCUAAGAAUGGGAACAUCAAUCUUACUGUCUACUUUGGCCUUCCAAGUGAAGUCAACUCUGCCAUUUUGGAGCCAAUGUCAAACUUCUUACCAAGCAAGAUCAUGUCAACAAUGUCAAGGAGCUGGUUCUACCUUGUAUUCUUUUGGGGCCUCAUUCUAUAUUUGAGUUACAAAGCUGGUACUUGCUUCUGUACCCAUUGAGACUUCAUACAAGCGAAUGCUGGCGAUGACCCAAAUCAUCCUAUUGUAAUUCCAAGGAUAGAGCAUGGUGCAAACAUGGAUGGGUAUACUUGAUUUUACGAGGAUGCUGCAGACAUUUUUACAGUAAUUCAAUGUGCAAGCAUCGAUGGGUAUACUUGAUUUUAAAAGGAUACUGCUGAAAUUUUUACAGUAAUUCAAUGUGCAAGCAUAGAUGGGUAUACUCGAUUUUAAGAGGAUAAUGCCGAAAUAUUUACAGUAAUUCGAUGUAGUGUGCAAGCAUGGAUGGAUAUAUACUCGAUUUUAAGAGAACACUCGGGUGCAAGCAUAGAUGGGUAUACUCGAUUUUAAGAGGAUAUUGCUGAAAUUUUUACGGUGCAAGCAUGGAUGGAUGUACUCGAUUCUAAGAGGAGAGUCGGGCAAAAUUUUUGUUGUAAUUCGAUGUAGUGUGAAUGUGGACAGUUGUGUUUGAAAGUUGUUAAAAUAUAUUUAUCGAUUGCCGUUGAAAUUUUUUUUCUUUGAAUAGGUGCAAGCAUGGAUGGGUAUAUUUGAUUUUAGGGAAUACUCUGCGAAAUUUUUACAGUAAUUCAAUUUAGUGUGAAUGUGUACAAUUUUGUAUGAGAGUUGUGAAAAUACUGUUAUCGAUUGCCAAUGAAAAUUGUUUUCUUUGAA